AUUGAACGCUGGCGGCAGGCUUAACACAUGCAAGUCGAGCGGGGGAAGGUAGCUUGCUACCGGACCUAGCGGCGGACGGGUGAGUAAUGCUUAGGAAUCUGCCUAUCAGUGGGGGACAACAUCUCGAAAGGGAUGCUAAUACCGCAUACGUCCUACGGGAGAAAGCAGGGGAUCUUCGGACCUUGCGCUAAUAGAUGAGCCUAAGUCGGAUUAGCUAGUUGGUGGGGUAAAGGCCUACCAAGGCGGCGAUCUGUAGCGGGUCUGAGAGGAUGAUCCGCCACACUGGGACUGAGACACGGCCCAGACUCCUACGGGAGGCAGCAGUGGGGAAUAUUGGACAAUGGGGGGAACCCUGAUCCAGCCAUGCCGCGUGUGUGAAGAAGGCCUUAUGGUCGUAAAGCACUUUAAGCGAGGAGGAGGCUACUUUAGUUAAUACCUAGAGAUAGUGGACGUUACUCGCAGAAUAAGCACCGGCUAACUCUGUGCCAGCAGCCGCUUAA
rnacentral:rRNA from 1 species